rnacentral:rRNA from 1 species
AUUGAACGCUGGCGGCAUGCCUUACACAUGCAGGUCGAACGGCAGCACGGGAGCAAUCCUGGUGGCGAGUGGCGAACGGGUGAGUAAAGUAUCGGAACGUGCCCAGUCGUGGGGGAUAACGUAGCGAAAGUUACGCUAAUACCGCAUACGAUCUAUGGAUGAAAGCGGGGGAUCGCAAGACCUCGCGCGAUUGGAGCGGCCGAUAUCAGAUUAGGUAGUUGGUGGGGUAAAGGCUCACCAAGCCGACGAUCUGUAGCGGGUCUGAGAGGACGACAAGCCACACUGGGACUGAGACACGGCCCAGACUCCUACGGGAGGCAGCAGUGGGGAAUUUUGGACAAUGGGCGAAAGCCUGAUCCAGCCAUGCCGCGUGCAGGAUGAAGGCCUUCGGGUUGUAAACUGCUUUUGUACGGAACGAAAAGGUUUGGCCUAAUAAGCUGAGCUCAUGACGGUACCGUAAGAAUAAGCACCGGCUAACUACGUGCCAGCAGCCGCCGUAA